rnacentral:rRNA from 1 species
UGUAUGGUUAAGUGACUAAGCGUACACGGUGGAUGCCUGGGCAGUCAGAGGCGAUGAAGGACGUACUAACUUGCGAUAAGCGCAGAUAAGGCAGUAAGAGCCGUUUGAGUCUGCGAUUUCCGAAUGGGGAAACCCAACUGCAUAAGCAGUUACUGUUAACUGAAUACAUAGGUUAACAGAGCAAACCGGGGGAACUGAAACAUCUAAGUACCCCGAGGAGAAGAAAUCAACCGAGAUUCCGGUAGUAGCGGCGAGCGAACCUGGAUUAGCCCUUAAGCACUCGGUGAAGUAGGUGAACAAGCUGGAAAGCUUGGCGAUACAGGGUGAUAGCCCCGUAACCGACGCUUCAUCGAGCGUGAAAUCGAGUAGGGCGGGACACGUGAUAUCCUGUCUGAAUAUGGGGGGACCAUCCUCCAAGGCUAAAUACUCCUGACUGACCGAUAGUGAACCAGUACCGUGAGGGAAAGGCGAAAAGAACCCCUGUGAGGGGAGUGAAAUAGAACCUGAAACCGUGUACGUACAAGCAGUAGGAGCACCUUCGUGGUGUGACUGCGUACCUUUUGUAUAAUGGGUCAGCGACUUAUAUUCAGUGGCAAGGUUAACCGUAUAGGGGAGCCGUAGCGAAAGCGAGUCUUAACUGGGCGCUCAGUCUCUGGAUAUAGACCCGAAACCGGGUGAUCUAGCCAUGGGCAGGUUGAAGGUUGAGUAACAUCAACUGGAGGACCGAACCGACUAAUGUUGAAAAAUUAGCGGAUGAC